rnacentral:rRNA from 1 species
GACGAACGCUGGCGGCGUGCCUAAUACAUGCAAGUCGAACGAGCGGCGGACGGGUGAGUAAUGUCUGGGAAACUGCCUGAUGGAGGGGGAUAACUACUGGAAACGGUAGCUAAUACCGCAUACCAUCAGAUGUGCCCAGAUGGGAUUAGCUAGUAGGUGGGGUAACGGCUCACCUAGGCGACGAUCCCUAGCUGGUCUGAGAGGAUGACCAGCCACACUGGAACUGAGACACGGUCCAGACGCCUACGGGAGGCAGCAGUGGGGAAUAUUGAACAAUGGGCGCAAGCCUGAUACAGCCAUGCCGCGUGUGUGAAGAAGGCCUUAGGGUUGUAAAGUACUUUCAGCGGGGAGGCGUUACCCGCAGAAGAAGCACCGGCUAACUCCGUGCCAGCCGCCGCGGUAAUUC